rnacentral:misc_RNA from 1 species
GAUUUUCCCAGGGUUUUUUAUUCUUUGCGUUUUAGUUCCGGAAUAUAGGGUUUCUGUUGUGAGGUUAAUUUAGGGUUUAGAUUAUGCUUUCUCUCACCGUUUCUGCUGGUUAUUAAUUAGGGUUGUUUAUACGAUUUGAGGGUAUAAAUUAGGGUUUUUAACAAGCAAUUCGUACUGUUUUCACGAUUUAAUCUACUAUUUAUCUGAAACAAUGCCUCCACGGAUGGUGAAGAGAGGUGCUGCGGAAGCGGGGUCGAAGAGGGCUGUGAGAGCCUCGAGAGGGGUAGCCAAGGGACAGAAUCAGCAACCGGAAGCUGCUGAAGUGACGCCAAAGACGGAGGAAAGGCUGGCCGUUGAUGAAAAGCCUUAUGUGGAGAAGCAUCUUGUUGAGAACAAGCCAAUUAUAGAAGAAAGGUCAGGUGUGGAAGAUGAAGUUGGAGCCAAAUUCGAUGCCAACGGCUCGGCUUCUCUGAAAAAAGGGGAAGAUGUGAAGGAAUCUGUAGAUGAGUAUGAAAAAGAUGAGCGGUUGGAGCUUGAUGAUAAUGAACCUGAAUAUGAACCUGAAGAAUACGGUGGGGUGGACUAUGAUGAUAAAGAAAUUGAAGAAGAGGAAAUUCAGGAGGUGGAGGUGGAGGUAGAGGUUGGAGAUGAAGUGGAGGAAGAACAUGAGGGUUGUGUAGGUGAAGAAGAAGAGGGUGAUCUGGUGGAGGAGGAAUUGGAAGACGUCGCUGAAGAACUGGAGGGUGAAGAGGAUGAUGAGCAUACUGGUGAAGAGGCAGAUCAUACUGAGAUGGUUGAUGCUGAGGAAGAGGAUCACCAUGAGGUGUUUAAGGAGAGACGCAAACGUAAGGAGUUCGAAGUAUUUGUUGGAGGUUUAGACAAGGAUGCUAAAGAGGAUGAUCUUCUGAAAGUGUUCAGCCGAGUUGGUGAGGUUACUGAAGUCAGGUUGAUGAUGAAUCCCCAGACCAAGAAAAACAAGGGAUUUGCAUUCUUGCGUUUUGCAACUGUGGAACAAGCAAAAAGAGCCAUUACAGAGCUCAAAAAUCCGGUGGUAAUUUUCGAUCAUGUCAUUUUUGGAAUAUCAAGUAAAUUUACUUCACAUCUUAAAUAUGUUAUUUUCAUUACUGCAAUUCCAGAUUAAUGGGAAAAAAUGUGGUGUUACACCAAGUCAAGACAGUGACACUCUUUUCUUGGGUAACAUUUGCAAGACAUGGACGAAAGAAGCUGUAAGUAUAUUGGAUCAUGAACUGUUAAGUGUAAAGUUUUCUCCACUGCUGAUUAUUGGAGCUGAAAUAUUCCUGAUAUUAUGGUCAUUGCUGUGGUUCCAGUUGAAAGAGAAGUUAAAACAUUAUGGAGUUGAGGAUGUUGAGGAUUUGACACUGGUAGAUGAUAGUAACAAUGAGGGAAUGAAUCGGGGGUUUGCCUUUUUGGAAUUUUCAUCUCGUUCAGUUGCCAUGGAUGCUUUUAAGCGUCUUCAGAAGAGGGAUGUUCUAUUUGGGGUUGAUAGGCCUGCAAAGGUUUCAUUUGCAGAUUCAUUCAUUGACCCUGGUGAUGAAAUCAUGGCGCAGGUCAAGACUGUAUUUAUUGAUGGCCUGCCCGCUUCAUGGGAUGAGGAUCGUGUUAGGGAGCUGUUAAAGAAAUAUGGGGAGAUUGAAAAGAUUGAGCUUGCCCGGAAUAUGCCAUCUGCCAAGAGAAAGGACUUUGGUUUUGUGACAUUUGAUUCUCAUGAUGCUGCAGUUACUUGUGCUAAAAGCAUUAAUAAUGCAGAGUUGGGUGAAGGAGAAAACAAGGCUAAAGUUAGGGCCCGGUUAUCAAGACCACUUCAGAGAGGAAAAGGAAAGCAUGCAAGUCGUACAGAUUUCCGAGCUUGGUAUGGGGGUAGAGUUGCUAGAGGUCCAUGGGUUCGUCCAACAAGAGGAAUUGCAAGUCGUGCUGCACCAGCCAGUGUAAAGAGGCCUAUAGGAUUGAGAGAUAGACGCCUACCUGUGAUGUCAAUGCCUGCAAGAGGCAGGCCUUUGCCGCCUCCUUCCAGGUCCUAUGAUAGAAGAGCACCCGCUUCAUCUUACCCGAAGAGUAGCUUAAAGAGGGAAUAUAGUCAGCGUGAUGAACUUCCUCCUCCAAGGAGCAGAGCUCCUGUGGAUUAUGGGUCUAGGGCCAUUCCAGAGAGACGGCCAUCUUCCUAUAGAGAUGAUUACUCCUCACGUGGCUCUGGCUAUUCAGAUUUUCCUAGAGGCACAUCUCGUACUUCAGCAAGGAGAGCAUAUGUAGAUGAUGGCUAUGGUCAAAGGUUUGAGAGGCAUCCUCCAAAUUACCGUGAAGGACGUGCGCGUGAUUAUGACUCUAUUUCUGGGUCAAAACGUCCAUAUUCAUCAAUGGAUGAUGUUCCUCCACGUUAUGCUGAUGCUGGUGCUCGCCAUUCAAGGGCUCGAUUGGACUACGAACUUGGCCCUGGUUCUUCUCAAUACGGGGAGGCAUAUGGUGAUAGAAUCAGCAGACCCAAUGUAGGAUAUGGUGGCAGCAGAAGUUCAAUUUCCGGUCAGGAUUCACAUGGGCUAUAUAGCAGCCGUCCGGGCAUGGGUUAUGGAGGUUCUUAUGGUGGCAGUGAUGUUGGUAGUAUGUACCACCCAUCAAACUAUGGUGGUGAUUACAUGUCCCGUGGCAGUGAUGUUGGUGGUAGGUCAUAUUCAUCAAUGUACUCUAGUCGUGGCUUGGGUGGCAGCAGUUACAUGGGUUCUGGUGGGUCAGGAUCAUACUAUUGAUAUAUUGCCAUCUCUUUUGAUUCCUAAGAGGUGUGAUUGGACAAAAAAGGCACGUGUGGUCACAAGUUAAUUUGUCUAUGGAACAGAUUUGACAUGACAAAGAGGCUGCUAUAGGAUGUGGACUAUUUGAAGCUUAUGAAUAAUGAUGCUUACAUUUUUGGAGACAGCAUGUUGUCGAGCAUAGUAGCCUCUAUAUGUUGUGGAAAAUGUUUGAGCUUAAAGUUCUUUGGUAAAGAAAGGGCAGCUUUGGUUCAAAUCUUUUUUUUUUAAGAUCUGCAGACUGGAUAUUUGUCAAGUCAUAGGCUCUGAUGAUGUAAGGAAAAUUUCACUCCUUUAGGGAUGAAAACUGGGAUUGCUUAGUAUAUGUAUGAAUUUGAUCUUUUGUUCUCUAUAUAUAUCUUUAAGAUGGAUGUGGGAAGUCAUGCUGCGUCAACUGUUUUUAUGGACAACAUGUUAUUGAGAAUUUGAGAUAUAUGUAAGGAUUUUGGAUAUUUGUUGUGCUAAAUUCAUUGGAUAAGCUAAGAUUUGGAAGGCAUUUUUAAUUGUGGUUGGAGCAUGUACUCUUUGAGUGCCACAACCUUUUAUGAUGUGAAAGGAGUUUUUGAGCAAGCUAUUGAAGUUCACUGGGAGUUAUUGUCCACAUCAUGCAUGCAUUAUGUCACUGCAGUUUAUUUGAAUUGUGAUUUGCGGAUCCAUUAUGGAGAGCUUACUGGAACUUAUGGGUGUGCUUAUAUUGGAAGCCAAUGAUGUCCAUGGAUUGUGAAGCGUGCAGUCAUUUCAAUGCACCAUUGUGUGAUAAUACAUUUGGGAACACAAUGCUGAUAAUGUUCUUUUUUACUAGACAUGUGCUGCAUUUAAGUGGAAUGGGUUGAUAACUUCGAUAGGAAAUAUUGACUUUUGUGUUCUUGCAUAUAGUUAUAGCUUGCUUAAGUUGGAGUCUGUUACAUGGAGUUCAAAUGAUAAAAAAGCUUUAUUUCACACGAGCUGUAAAACUAUAGUGCUUCCCUAGCUGAAGGACACUUGCGCUUUUAUUUUAAUAGUACGCUGUUGAUGGACAAAAGUCAUCUGUAGUUCAUUGAUUCAUCAAAUGCUUGGUUUCUGUGGGGUAAUGAAGGCUGGAAGUAAGCAUUUUUCCAUGGUUCUUUUACAGAAACUUGGAAUGAGGUAAUGCAAGAGUUGUAAUAUACUUUGGUUUCAGUUGAUAUUCUGAUUACUAUGUCGGACAGUAUCGUUACGGUUGAAAAUGGUUGGCGAAUUCUGCUGGGGAAUUUUGGGUCCGUUAGUGAUUGGGUUGCAUUUGACUGACUUGAGAUUCUGAACAAGCGUGAGUGCAUACCAUCUUUGAAAUUGCAUUUAAUGUUAGCAAGCCUGAUUUACUAAAUAACUGAAUUUAAUAGGCUUAUUUGUGAUAUCAAAUAGGUAAGGCUUGUAGUUAUAACAAGCUGCCACUGUUGAGAACUUAAAAGCGUUAGUAGUUUUGUUAGCAAGAAUUUGCCUGCAAACUUAGUUUGUAACGUUUUCCUUGCUUUGCUAAAGAAGUUGGUUCAGCACUGAGUACGAGAAUAUAAUCCCAAUGGCUGAUGGCAAUUUGAUUAUCUGUUGGGCACAGCCCUACAAGGACUUUGUUCAAUGUGGUAGACCAUUUACCAUUUUGUUUCUCUUGGCUGGUUUUAUCAGUAUCUUGAUUUGAACGUCAUUGCAUGGUUUUAGGGCUUUGGAAUCGGUUGGAAUGGCUACUUACUGUCAUUCUGUCUGGUUGUAGCCAUGCUUAACUCAGCCUCCACUAAGUUUUAAGAAAAUCACCUAAUGAUGGCUUUUCCUACCUUUCAUUCAUUUUAUGGCACCACUUUCUGAUCAUAUAGGGUGUUACGUUUUGCAUGUACACUUGGUGAUAUGAUUUCUGACUUCUUGUGAUUAACUGUAGAUGUUUGUAUUUUGAGAGGGAACGAUGUUAUCUGCAUCAUUUGGUUUCAUUUCACGGGGUUUGAGUUCCUACAAGUUCUUUUCUUUGCAGUGAUUCCCUUAGAGUCUAGAUGUUACCCUUACCAAUAUUUGGGUUUGAGGAAAUCUAGUGAUUGGCCAUUGUAAACAAUUUGUAAUGAACCCUCUCCCCGCUCCUGCUGCUGUAUGUCGUAUUUACAGUUCAUGUUGUAACCUGGUAUGGAAUGCAGAUACUACCAAAUGCAGGAGAGCAAGUAGGCAAUCUUUUAGUAUAUUUUUGAUUUCUUGUUGUAGUGGAAUAAAUGGUGGUAGGGUUUUUGGAAUUAAAUUCUUUUUAGGAUGGAUGGUUUUCUUUUGAAACAAAUCGAAACAAACUGUUUUCUUCUAUUGUUUGCUGCAAUUGGGAAAAAUUUUUCUGGUUUUAUUUGAUGUUUCAGAAUAUUAGUUGAUGACUUGAUGGCCUGCUUUUCCCGAUUCAAGGAGUAUGGUUGUGUCCUUACCUGUUAAGUGGAAUGACUGAUGGCAGCUUGUUUCCUAAAGUAUGCUGCUAUUUAAACUACUUUCUCAGGUGGCCAACAAAAUAUCAUCA